rnacentral:rRNA from 1 species
UACGAAGGGGGCUAGCGUUGUUCGGAAUCACUGGGCGUAAAGGGCGCGUAGGCGGCCAUAUAAGUCGGGGGUGAAAGCCUGUGGCUCAACCACAGAAUUGCCUUCGAUACUGUAUGGCUCGAGACCGGAAGAGGUAAGUGGAACUGCGAGUGUAGAGGUGAAAUUCGUAGAUAUUGGGAAGAACACCGAUGGCGAAGGCAGCCAUCUGGACCGACACUGACGCUGAGGCGCGAAAGCGUGGGGAGCAGACAGG